rnacentral:rRNA from 1 species
UACGAAGGGUGCAAGCGUUACUCGGAAUUACUGGGCGUAAAGCGUGCGUAGGCGGUUCGUUAAGUCUGUCGUGAAAGCCCCGGGCUCAACCUGGGAAUGGCGGUUGAAACUAGUCGACUCGAAUCUGGCAGAGGGGGGUGGAAUUCCACGUGUAGCAGUGAAAUGCGUAGAGAUGUGGAGGAACACCGAUGGCGAAGGCAGCCCCCUGGGCUGAGAUUGACGCUCAGGCACGAAAGCGUGGGGAGCAAACAGG